AAUUACCUGAAAGAUCCUAUGGAGCUGAUUGCCGUAUUUAUGUCCCAGAGAAUCCAAAAAACAGGUUUAUCAAUGUUUAUAAUACAUUAUUUGAUGAGUUUGUUCUUGCUCAUAUUUUUGGAUGGUGGGGUAAGGCAAUAAUGAUACGAAACCAGCCCCUUCUGUGGGUGUUGUCAAUUGGCUUCGAAUUAAUGGAGUUUACUUUUCGCCACAUGUUGCCAAAUUUCAAUGAGUGCUGGUGGGACAGUAUUAUUUUGGACAUCUUGAUCUGCAAUUGGUUUGGUGAGACCUUAGUUACUCUCUUGUUACCUGCAAAUGGAUGCGAAAAUAAUUACUUUAGUA